rnacentral:rRNA from 1 species
UACGUAGGUGGCAAGCGUUGUUCGGAAUUAUUGGGCGUAAAGGGCGCGUAGGCGGUUUGUUAAGUCGGCUGUGAAAGCCCGGGGCUCAACCCCGGAGGGUCAGCCGAUACUGGCAGACUAGAGUACGGAAGAGGUAGCUGGAAUUCCCGGUGUAGCGGUGAAAUGCAUAGAUAUUGUCAAGAACACCAAUUGCGAAGGCAGCUUACUAAAGUAUAACUGACGCUGAGGCACGAAAGUGCGGGGAUCAAACAGG